rnacentral:rRNA from 1 species
UACGGAGGGCGCAAGCGUUGUUCGGAAUCAUUGGGCGUAAAGCGCGUGUAGGCGGACUGGUCAGUCGGGUGUGAAAUACCGGAGCUCAACUCCGGAACUGCAUUCGAUACAGCCAGGCUAGAGUCCCGGAGAGGGUGGUGGAAUUCCCGGUGUAGAGGUGAAAUUCGUAGAAAUCGGGAGGAACACCAGCGGCGAAGGCGGCCACCUGGACGGUGACUGACGCUGAGGCGCGAAAGCGUGGGGAGCAAACAGG